AAAAAUCGGCCUUUAAUUAUCUUCUUUCUUUCUCUUUCCUCAAUCUCUCCUCCUCUCUCAUCUGUCUCUCUCUCAUCUACAACAAUGGAGCCUCAAACUCCUUCUCUCUCCUUCUCCAUAACCACCGCUUUCCCUUUCCUUUUCUCUCUCCUACGAUCUCCUUCUCCAUAACUGCGCCGCAAGCAACGUUGCUCUCCUUCUCCUUCUCAGUCCGAAAUCGGCGUCAUUAGAACCAAGCACAACCACCAUCGCCGCCGUCGUCAAUUUGAACCAAAUACAACAACAACAACAAACUUGAAAUCAAUUAUCGAUUUAAAAAUCACAAAUUCGAGGAUUUCUCAGUCUCUCAGAUCACUCCUCCACCGGCAGCGGUGGCUUCUCUCACUCCUCCACCAGCGGCACUAUCUCGCAUAGUCCUCCUUGCGCUCCUUCCCUCUGUUUUUCUUCAGUCUUGGCCAGGUUUGACUUCUAAGUUUUGGAAUUGGUCUUCAAAGUCCCAAGUGUUUGAUCUUCGUGAGCAGUGCACUUUCAGCGUGCACCCGGAGUGCAUCAUUGGUGGUUGUGGUGCAGCAACUUCUUGGUAGAUGAACAAGAAAGAGAAAGUACUUGUCUCUUCUCAGCUCUCACUCUAGUCUCAGGAGCUUAUCGCUGCUUUGCUGUCAUGCUCAUUCUUGUGAUUGCAGGUGCUGGAGAGCAUUAGGAGAGUUUGUGACUUAAUAAGCUAAGUUGUAAGGUUAUUAAAGGAAUUGUUGAUGGUUGCCAGCAAUCCGAUAGUGCUCUUUUGGGUGGAGAGGUAAUUCAGAGGCUCGGCAUGUACUGCGCAAAAAUGAAGUAUAAUGCAUUCUCUAAUUUUACGUACUCAUGUGCUGGUAGGUGGGGAGGAUAGAUGACAGUGAGAUGAUGCGGACUUUCAAUAUGGGUAUUGGAAUGGUGCUUGUGGUAAGUCCAGAUGUAGCCCUCAAAAUUCUUGGUGAUGCAAAUGGAGCAACUCCAAUGUAUCACAUUGGUGAGGUAAAGACAGGUGAAGGGGUUAGCUAUCGAUGAGAGGCUUCUCAUCAAGUUUUUUUUAUGCGAAAUGACCCUAAAGACUUGAGUCUUGCUAUCUCUUGAGCUCUCUCCAUCUUUUCCAUAUAACUUAUGUCAGCACAUAAUCUGCCAGAAUAUGGUCUGAUGCAGACUAGGAAAAUUUAUGCUGUCAGGGAUUUAUGCUGCAGUAUCAUGAUGCUGUAGUUUUUUCAGUUUUUUAAAGUGUAAUAUUACAAGUUAUUGAAGAAAAAAUAUGUGUUUUAUGUAUAUUAUGAUUAUAUAUAUAUAAAUAUCUGGUACAUUUUAAGUGGAAAAAAAUGCAAUUUUUUUAAUUUUUUUUUUAUUUUUUGGGCCAUUAAUGGCACCGGUUUUGGCACCGAACCGGUGCCAAUUGUAUUUUUUUUUAAUUUUUUUGGGGCACAAUUGGCACCGAUUUUGAACCCGA